UUCUGUGUUGGUGAUAUAGUGUGAUAUCCUUACUGGGUUAGUGUAACUCAUCCCUUAUCUAACCAUUUCAGAUCAAGAGGACUUGGUUCCAGAGCCCAAUCCGCAGGAAGAUUACGAGUAGAUGCUAGAUAUUUUCUAUUUUUCAUUACUUUUCGUAUUUCUCGUGUUUCUUUCAGAGAAUUCAUUCCGUAAUAUUUGUUUAGUACUUUUAAGUUAUUAUAUAAGGGAUGUAAACUUUAACUUUUUAUUUCACUUCCGCACUUAAAUUAUUA
rnacentral:lncRNA from 1 species